rnacentral:rRNA from 1 species
GAUGAACGCUGACAGAAUGCUUAACACAUGCAAGUCUACUUGAACUUCGGUUUGGGUGGCGGACGGGUGAGUAACGCGUAAAGAACUUGCCUCACAGAUAGGGACAACAUUUGGAAACGAAUGCUAAUACCUGAUAUUAUGAUUUUAGGGCAUCCUAGAAUUAUGAAAGCUAUAUGCACUGUGAGAGAGCUUUGCGUCCCAUUAGCUAGUUGGAGAGGUAACGGCUCACCAAGGCGAUGAUGGGUAGCCGGCCUGAGAGGGUGAUCGGCCACAAGGGGACUGAGAGACGCCCCUUACACCUACGGGAGGCAGGAGUGGGGAAUAUUGGACAAUGGACCGAGAGUCUGAUCAAGCAAUUCUGUGUGGACGAUGAAGUUUUUCGGAAUGUAAAGUGCUUUCAGUUGGGAAGAAAAAAAUGACGGUACCAACAGAAGAAGUGACGGCUAAAUACGUG